ACUCUCCUGCUUACAAAUCUCACAUCCAGGAUUGGAGACAUUCUACUUGAAAAAUGAUGAAAGAUGAUUUAUUUUAGACUGAAUUUAAAAUUAUUUCUUUGGAAAUGAUUGUUUAGAAAGAGAGGAAGACAAACACUCGGAAACUGAGAAGGAUGUCUGGAAAGAACAUUGUCUGGAAAAGGCCAAAAAAAGAGAAGACAUCAUUGCAUUACUGAAAAAGCAAAGGGAAGAGAGGAUAUCGAAAGAGUCCUUAUCUUAUCCACAUAAGCCAAAAAGCAGAGCGCCACAAAGGGACCAGGAAGAUGAGAGGUAAAUCUCCUGUCUGUUUUGGAGUUAUUUCAUGCAAACGAGAGAAAGAACCACGUGUUAAAGAAUUCCUGGAAUUCAAGAUGAGCCAAUUUGUCCAGGUUUUUUGCCAAGAAAUCAACCUGGGCUCUCCAUAUAUUCUCCAAAGGUUCAAAGGAGACUUUGCCUUUUCACUUUUAAAAUGACCUCUCUGAAAAAGCUGAUUUGGCCCCUUAUACUUCUCCUCUCAGCAGUUUCUGCCUUUAAUUUGUUAAUGGCUGGCAUUUUUCUCAAGGAUGACAUGGGAAAAUGCCAUUUAAGACCCAUUUUACAGUAGUUAAGGUCCUUAUUCAAACCUGGGCAUUUCUCUGGACUCCAAUUAUUUUCCUGGUGACAACCCUGAUCUAUUCAGUCAGUUAGACCCACAAAUAAGUAAGUGAGUCUUGUUGAAAUCACUUGCUUAGGCAUGAUUUGCCAGCUGACAGAUCACAUCUCAAGAGCCAGCGAGUUCCACCCACCCUGCCGGGUUUUCCAAUCGAUUCCUGUUAAACCAAGAAAUCCUGUAAAGACCUGGGGGGUGGGGGUUAAAAAAUGCCAGAGUAUUUUACAGAGUAA